UACGUAGGGUGCAAGCGUUGUCCGGAAUUAUUGGGCGUAAAGAGCUCGUAGGCGGUCUGUCGCGUCUGCUGUGAAAACUCGGGGCUUAACCCCGGGCCUGCAGCCGAUACGGGCAGGCUUGAGUUCGGUAGGGGAGACUGGAAUUCCUGGUGUAGCGGUGAAAUUCGUAGAUAUUCGGAAGAACACCAGUGGCGAAGGCGACUCACUGGACACAUAUUGACGCUGAGGUGCGAAAGCGUGGGGAGCAAACAGG
rnacentral:rRNA from 1 species